GAUGUGUGUUUGUGCAUCUCACAAAACACAAGAAAUAAAAGAAUAUAGAGAUGCAGAAAUUAAAGCUAGAUUGUGGCAGGUGAUUGCAGAACAGCUUGGAAUCGGGGAUGGUUGCAAAACAAUGGAUCGAUGUAGGAAAGAUUAAACAGAAGAGAUUGUGCUCUAGACAGCUAAACGAUAGCUUCUUGCUAAUGUCAUUCAUUUAUUAGCCCCAUUUAUUGUCUAGUGUAUCCACUGCACACACCUAAUUAAUUCAGGUUUGUCUCGUUUUGCACAUUUUCCCAAGAAUAGAAUAAUAAAACGCAUCAAACUUAGCGUGCAAGGUUUCUGUGCGUAUGUUUUUAUCGGAUGACGGAUUA